CGUUGAAACACCGGUUCCCGUACGAUCACCGAAGUUAAGCAAUGUCAAGCCUGGUCAGUACCUAGAUGGGGGCACCGCUUAGCAAUACCAGG